CCUAGUGCAUUUUGCUCCUAAAGUAGCAUAUUCAGGAGGACUUUUUCCUUUAUUCUCCAUCUAAUUAGUCAUUGAUUCUCCUUAAACUGAAUGGAUGAGAAAACAUAUUUUGUCCUGUGUUUUACUUUUAAAGAUUUGAUCAAAGUAUUUUUCACUACUUGUUCAUCUUUAUCACACAGUUCCUAUAGCAAAUACAAGUCUUUUCUUCUUCUGUAUUUGUUCUGUUCUUGUUGGGAAUGGGGUCUAUAAAAAUUAUUGUUACCACCUCAAAGCUUUAUUCUUUAUAAUGUAAAGAAAACAUCAUUUUCAGCCAACGCAAAUGCUUUAAUUCAAAAGAUUUAUUAACAUGACAAAGCAGCUUUUGUUCAGCUAUGGCUUUGAGCCAUCUAAAGGAUUUUACUUUGUCUGGGAUUUGCCAAUUUCAGGAAAAAUGAAAAAUUUUGAACAGUUAGAAGGGGAAAUAUUAAUAUGAUUAAAAGCUAGAGAAGAAUAGAAAAAAGUAUAGAAGAAAGAAAAUCAAAAUA
rnacentral:lncRNA from 1 species